ensembl:rRNA 5S_rRNA 5S ribosomal RNA
GUAGCAUGCAAUAGGCAGAGUCUGGUUCCUCACUAAAGCUAAGCAGGCCAGAGCCUGGUCAGUACACUGGUGGGAGACCAUUUGUGAAAAUGUAGCUUGCUGCU